rnacentral:rRNA from 1 species
GACGUAGGGGGCCAGCGUUGUUCGGAAUUACUGGGUGUAAAGGGUUCGUAGACGGUGUGGCAAGUCGGGAGUGAAAUCUCUGGGCUCAACUCAGAGACUGCUUCCGAAACUGCUGUGCUGGAGUGUGGGAGAGGCGCGUGGAAUUGCAGGUGUAGCGGUGAAAUGCGUAGAUAUCUGCAGGAACACCCGUGGCGAAAGCGGCGCGCUGGACCACUACUGACGCUGAGGAACGAAAGCUAGGGGAGCAAACAGG